GUGGAGGUAAACCCAGGCCCUGCAUGUCCCCAGACACCCUCAUUUGUUGACUUCUGUGAUUGAAAAAGCCUUGGUUUCAUGCAUGUCAACAUCAGAAGCCUCCUCCCUAAGUUUGUUUUACUCACUGCUUUAGCACACUCUGCUAACCCUGAUGUCCUUGCCGUGUCUGAAUCCUGGCUCGGGAAGGCCACCAAAAAUUCUGAGAUUUCCAUACCCAACUAUAACAUUUUCCGUCAAGAUAGAACUGUCAAAGGGGGAAGAGUUGCAGUCUACCGCAGAGAGAGCCUGCAAAGUAAUGUCAUACUUUCCAGGUCCAUACCCAUACAGUUCGAACUACUAAUUUUAAAAAUUACUCUCUCCAGAAAUAAGUCUCUCACUGUUGCCGCCUGCUACCUACCCCCCUCAGCUCCCAGCUGUGCCCUGGACACCAUUUGUGAGUUGAUCGCACCCCAUCUAGCUUCAGAGUUUGUUCUGUUAGGUGACCUAAACUGGGUUAUGCUUAACACCCCGGCAGUCCUACAAUCUAAGUUAGAUGCCCUCAAUCUCACACAAAUCAUCAAGGAACCCACCAGGUACAACCCUAAAUCUGUAAACAAGGGCACCCUCAUAGACGUCAUCCUGACCAACUGGCCCUCCAAAUACACCUCCGCUGUCUUCAAUCAGGAUCUCAGCGAUCACUGCCUCAUUGCCUGUAUCCGCUACGGAUCCGCAGUCAAACGACCACCCCUCAUCACUGUCAAACGCUCCCUAAAACACUUCUGCGAGCAGGCCUUUCUAAUCGACCUGACCUCAUCCCGUCAGUUGAGGAUGCCUGGUCAUUCUUUAAAAGUAACUUCCUCUCCAUUUUAGAUAAGCAUGCUCUGUUCAAAAAAUGCAGAACUAAGAAUAGAUACAGCCCUUGGUUCACUCCAGACCUGACUGCCCUCGACCAGCACAAAAACAUCCUGUGGCGGACUGCAAUAGCAUUGAAUAGUCCCCGCGAUAUGCAACUGUUCAGGGAAGUCAGGAACCAAUACACGCAGUCAGUCAGGAAAGCAAAGGCCAGCUUCUUCAGGCAGAAAUUUGCAUCCUGUAGCUCUAACUCCC
rnacentral:lncRNA from 13 species